CCUACGGUGGCAGCAGUGGGGAAUAUUGCACAAUGGGCGCAAGCCUGAUGCAGCCAUGCCGCGUGUGUGAAGAAGGCCUUCGGGUUGUAAAGCACUUUCAGCGGGGAGGAAGGCGUUAAGGUUAAUAACCUUGUCGAUUGACGUUACCCGCAGAAGAAGCACCGGCUAACUCCGUGCCAGCAGCCGCGGUAAUACGGAGGGUGCAAGCGUUAACCGGAAUUACUGGGCGUAAAGCGCACGCAGGCGGUCUGUCAAGUCGGAUGUGAAAUCCCCGGGCUCAACCUGGGAACUGCAUUCGAAACUGGCAGGCUAGAGUCUUGUAGAGGGGGGUAGAAUUCCAGGUGUAGCGGUGAAAUGCGUAGAGAUCUGGAGGAAUACCGGUGGCGAAGGCGGCCCCCUGGACAAAGACUGACGCUCAGGUGCGAAAGCGUGGGGAGCAAACAGGAUUAGAUACCCUAGUAGUC
rnacentral:rRNA from 1 species